AACGAACGCUGGCGGCAGGCUUAACACAUGCAAGUCGAACGCCCCGCAAGGGGAGUGGCAGACGGGUGAGUAACGCGUGGGAAUCUACCGAGCCCUGCGGGAUAGCUCCGGGAAACUGGAAUUAAUACCGCAUGCGCCCUUCGGGGGAAAGAUUUAUCGGGGUUUGAUGAGCCCGCGUUGGAUUAGCUAGUUGGUGGGGUAAAGGCCUACCAAGGCGACGAUCCAUAGCUGGUCUGAGAGGAUGAUCAGCCACAUUGGGACUGAGACACGGCCCAAACUCCUACGGGAGGCAGCAGUGGGGAAUAUUGGACAAUGGGCGCAAGCCUGAUCCAGCCAUGCCGCGUGAGUGAUGAAGGCCUUAGGGUUGUAAAGCUCUUUCACCGGAGAAGAUAAUGACGGUAUCCGGAGAAGAAGCCCCGGCUAACUUCGUGCCAGCCGCCGCAGUAACAC
rnacentral:rRNA from 1 species